rnacentral:rRNA from 1 species
UGCGUAGGCGGCUUUUUAAGUCGGAUGUGAAAUCCCUGAGCUUAACUUAGGAAUUGCAUCCGAUACUGGGAAGCUAGAGUAUGGGAGAGGAUGGUAGAAUUCCAGGUGUAGCGGUGAAAUGCGUAGAGAUCUGGAGGAAUACCGAUGGCGAAGGCAGCCAUCUGGCCUAAUACUGACGCUGAGGUACGAAAGCGAUGGGGAGCAAACA